rnacentral:ncRNA from 1 species
UAAGAUAGAGGAGCGCGAAACAAUAGUAGUCUGCGGAGCGGGAGUGUUGAAACAGGUGAAAGGGUUAGCGCCGAAGUUUAUCAGCAGCCAUGCUGGUAUGCUGGGCUGUCAGUGAAUAAUUGACGGACUGUCGCUGCUGCUGCAGCGGAGUGCUAUCUC